rnacentral:rRNA from 1 species
AGUCUGACGAGUGGCGAACGGGUGAGUAAUAUAUUCGGGAACGUGCCCCAGCUUGUGGGGGAUAACUACUCGAAAGUAGUGGCUAAUACCGCAUGAGCACCUGAGGGUGAAAGCGGGGGAUCGCAAGACCUCGCGCAAUUGGAGCGGCCGAUAUCACNAUUAUGCUAGUUGGCGGGGUAAAAGCCCACCAAGGCGACGAUCUGUAGCUGGUCUGAGAGGACGACCAGCCACACUGGGACUGAGACACGGCCCAGACUCCUACGGGAGGCAGCAGUGGGGAAUUUUGGACAAUGGACGCAAGUCUGAUCCACCCAUGCCGCGUGCGGGAAGAAGGCCUUCGGGUUGUAAACCGCUUUU